rnacentral:lncRNA from 1 species
GAACCUAAUGAUAUAUUUAUGAAAAUUAUGUGAUUAGUUAUGGCUCUCCUACACAGCAGGGAUGUCUACAGUGGCCUCCUUGCUGGAGUGUUUCUUUGACCCCAGCAGUGGUGUGAUCAUGUUGGAUGGCCUGGAUAUCCGGACACUGGACCCAUCCCAGAGGACAAGUAAUUAGAUUCAUCAAUCAGGAGCCUGUGCUGUGAUGGAGAACAUUUGCUUUGGUAAGCGGGGGCUACUGAUGCUGAGGUCAUCAACGCUGCCAAGCAGGCCAAUGACCACCGCUUCCUCACAGACUUUCCAGAUGAAUACAACCCUGUGGUGGGUAUCUUCUCUUCCUAGGCUGGAACUCACAUGGAAUUGCUGAACAAAGGAGGGCUGUAUGCUGACCUCAUCCGCAGGCAGAGAUCAGAGGGACAGAUGUGAACAGUACUUUGCAGAGCUGCCAACUCUCACUGAUUGGCCGUGAGACAAACGCACGCAUUUGACCCUCUUUUCACGCUCUCACGGCACACCUCUUAUAUCUCACGAAUUGUAAAGUACUGCUUUUAUUUUUCAAAUUAGUCCAUUGUAUAGUCAGCACGUGAACCUUUCGACUGUGCUCCAAAUCGUUUUGAAAUCGGAGCAUUUGCGCCUGCAAUUUAACAUCACGAGUGGAAUCUCUAUCAUUGUACUAUCAUUGUCCUGUCUUGCCACAGCACUGUGAACCGCUUCACAUUGAAGCAUAUGAUUGGUCUAGUUAUGUAAAGGAUCAAGGUGAUUGGAUGCGUGUUUUAAAGAAACGCCCCUCAAGAUUAGAGUGGAGCUGAAUGGAGAGAGAAAAUAAUUUUCUGAGUUUAUAAAACUAAAGAGAGCAGCACGGUAGCGCUUUUUCAUGUACAAUGUUUUCAACAAAAUUAGGUUGCUGUUACUCCCAUCUUAUUGCAGACUGCAGUCUUCUGACAGCAUGUACUAAAGUCGAUUUAAUCCACACUUGCAUUAGUCCCCUCGAUUGGUGAUUGGCAUUUAGACUGUGACAACAAAAAGGCAACAGACAGACCUACAGUAUCUUUUAGCAAGGAAGUUUGGUAGGAUGACUUGCUUUGUAAUUAUGAAAAUAAUUUUGUCAACCAGAUUGUGAACCCAAAAGUGUAAGUUUGAUUCUAGAAGGGGAACGUUAAAUAUAAAAUAAUUUGGGUAGAGUGUAGGGGCAGAUUCAUGUCAUAUUGUCUUCAGGAGAUUUUAUUAGCUAUUUACUUAGUUUAGUCUGAUCAAUGGAACAAUUCUCAUCCUUAACAAUGGGCUAAAAUAUUGGGUAAUUACUGUGCUAGUCAGCAAGAACACUACUGUUAUUCCACACACUUAUUUUAAUAUUCCACUAAUCACAUAUUUGAAAUCUGAUAUGACUACAGUGCAUUUGGACUGUAUUCAAAUCUACACACAAUACCUCAUAAUGACAAAGCAAAAACAGGUUAGAUUUCUUUUUGCCAAAUGUAUUAAAAACUGAAAUAUCACAUUUACAUAAGUAUUCAGACCCUUUACUCAGUACUUUGUUGAAGCACCUUUGGCAGUGAAUAC